AUUGAACGCUGGCGGCAGGCCUAACACAUGCAAGUCGAGCGGAUGAACGGAGCUUGUUCGGGGUUCUAGCGGCGGACGCGUGAGUAAUGCCCAGGAAUCUGCCUCCCUGUGUGGGAUAACGUCUUGAAACGGGUGGUAAUAACACCUAAGUCCUGCUGCUGCUAGAGGGGGGUCUUCGGACCUUUCCCGAGCAGGGGAGCCUAGGCCGGAUUUGCUAGUUGGUGGGUUUAAGGGCUACCAAGCCGACGAUUCGUAACUGGUCUGAGAGGAUGAUCAGUCACACUGGAACGGGAACACGGUCCAGACUCCUACGGGAGGCAGCAGUGGGGAAUAUUGGACAAUGGGCGAAAGCCUGAUACAGCCAUGCCGCGUGUGUUAAGAAGGUCUUCGGAUUGUAAAGCACUUUAAGUUGGGAGGAAGGGCAGUAAGUUAAUACCUUGCUGUUUUGACGUUACCAAGAGAAUAAGCACCGGCUAACUACGUG
rnacentral:rRNA from 1 species